UACGUAGGGUGCAAGCGUUGUCCGGAAUUAUUGGGCGUAAAGAGCUCGUAGGCGGUCUGUCGCGUCGGCUGUGAAAACCCGGGGCUCAACCCCGGGCCUGCAGUCGAUACGGGCAGACUAGAGUGUGGUAGGGGAGACUGGAAUUCCUGGUGUAGCGGUGGAAUGCGCAGAUAUCAGGAGGAACACCGGUGGCGAAGGCGGGUCUCUGGGCCAUAACUGACGCUGAGGAGCGAAAGCGUGGGGAGCGAACAGG
rnacentral:rRNA from 1 species